ensembl:lncRNA
UUUAAUGAUUCAGGUAUUUAUUUACACAACAAAAACUGUAUAAAGUGUUACAAUGUAAAAAUAAAAAAAAAAGACAUUCUGUACAAAAUAUCAUGGUUAGAGAAAGGUCAAUGUUAGAGAUGGUUACAAUCGCAAAGGUCAAUAUGACUGUACUGGUGUUUUUGUGGUAUGAAACAUAUUAAGAGACACGAGGCUACUGUUUGAACACUGUCGUAAUGCUGCAGGUAGCCUAGCGGUCAGAGUGUUGGGCAGGUAACCGAAAGGUCGCUGGUCUGAAUACCGGACCUGAGUAGGUGAACAAUCUGUUGCUGUGCCCUUGAGCAAGGCACUUAACUGUAAUUGCUAAUUGUACAAUGGGGACCCCACUCUCGGAGGAAGUUGGGAUAUGGUGACCCUGACCGUGACCCCACUCCCUGCGGGUGUGUCUGGGGGAGUUGGACAUGGUGACCCUGACCGUGACCCCACUUCCUGGGGGUGUCUCAGGGGGAGUUGGGAUAUGGUGACCCUGACCCCAAACCCUGCGGGUGUCUCAGGAUAUGGUGACCCUGACCGUGACCCCACUUCCUGGGGGUGUCUCAGGGGGAGUUGGGAUAUGGUGACCCUGACCAUGACCCCACUCCCUGCAGGUGUGUCAGGGGAGUUGGGACAUGGUGACCCUGACCGUGACCCCACUUCCUGGGGGUGUCUCAGGGGGAGUUGGGAUAUGGUGACCCUGACCCCACUUCCUGCGGGUGUCUCAGGAUAUGGUGACCCUGACCCCAAACCCUGCGGGUGUCUCAGGAUAUGGUGACCUUGACCCCAAACCCUGCGGGUGUCUCAGGGGGAGUUGGGAUAUGGUGACCCUGAACGUGACCCCAAACCCUGCGGGUGUCUCAGGAUAUGGUGACUCUGACCGUGACCCCACUUCCUGCGGGUGUCUCAGGGGGAGUUGGGAUAUGGUGACCCUGACCGUGACCCCAAACCCUGCGGGUGUCUCAGGGGGAGUUGGGAUAUGGUGACCCUGACCGUGACCCCACUCCCUGCGGGUGUCUCAGGGGGAGUUGGGAUAUGAAACACCUUUCCACUUGUGUGUAACAGGUCAAAUAUAAAAACACCACCAAAAUUAUUAUAUUUUAAAAAGAAAAUACAUUGUUAUUGAGACGUUUCUAUUUAUUUAUAUAUAUACACCUAUAUACAUAUUAUCAACAUUCCUAUUGAAAUUAAACGGAAUUCCAGAAUGACAUUUUCAUUAUGGAUUUUCCAGAAUUCCCAGGUAUCAGCCUGCCAUCCAGAGGGUGAAGGGGAUGAGGAGGGUGGGAAGCGUGGUGUAAGGGGA